rnacentral:rRNA from 1 species
CCUACGGGAGGCAGCAGUGAGGAAUAUUGGUCAAUGGGCGAGAGUCUGAACCAGCCAAGUAGCGUGAAGGAUGACUGCCCUAUGGGUUGUAAACUUCUUUUAUAUGGGAAUAAAGUGUUCCACGUGUGGGGUUUUGUAUGUACCUUAUGAAUAAGGAUCGGCUAACUCCGUGCCAGCAGCCGCGGUAAUACGGAGGAUCCGAGCGUUAUCCGGAUUUAUUGGGUUUAAAGGGAGCGUAGGCGGGUUGUUAAGUCAGGUGUUAAAGUUUGCGGCUCAACCGUAACAUUGCAGUUGAAACUGGCAGUCUUGAGUACAGGAGAGGUGCGUGGAAUUCGUGGUGUAGCGGUGAAAUGCUUAGAUAUCACGAAGAACUCCGAUCGCGAAGGCAGCGCACUGGAGCGAAACUGACACUGAGGCUCGAAAGUGUGGGUAUCAAACAGGAUUAGAUACCCGAGUAGUC